rnacentral:rRNA from 1 species
GAACGAACGCUGGCGGCAGGCCUAACACAUGCAAGUCGGACGGUAGCACAGGGGAGCUUGCUCUCCGGGUGACGAGUGGCGGACGGGUGAGUAAUGUCUGGGAAACUGCCCGGUGGAGGGGGAUAACUACUGGAAACGGUAGCUAAUACCGCAUAACGUCUUCGGACCAAAGUGGGGGAUCUUCGGACCUCACGCCACCGGAUGUGCCCAGAUGGGAUUAGCUAGUAGGUGGGGUAACGGCUCACCUAGGCGACGAUCCCUAGCUGGUCUGAGAGGAUGACCAG